GGAGGGGUGGCAGAGCGGUUUAAUGCGCCGGUUUCGAAAACCGGUUCUCGCAAGGGAAGCGUGGGUUCGAAUCCCACCCCCUCCG
rfam:Parcubacteria bacterium GW2011_GWA1_47_11 TX77_C0007, whole genome shotgun sequence.